rnacentral:rRNA from 1 species
CUAAUACAUGCAAGUCGAACGCACUGACGUCGACCGAAGCUGCUUGCAGUGGACGUUGAUUGACGUGAGUGGCGGACGGGUGAGUAACACGUGGGUAACCUACCCUUAAGUGGGGGAUAACAUUUGGAAACAGAUGCUAAUACCGCAUAACCAUUCAGACCACAUGGUCUGAAUGUAAAAGACGGCCUUUGGCUGUCACUUUUGGACGGACCCGCGGCGUAUUAGUUAGUUGGUAAGGUAACGGCUUACCAAGACAAUGAUACGUAGCCGACCUGAGAGGGUAAUCGGCCACAUUGGGACUGAGACACGGCCCAAACUCCUACGGGAGGCAGCAGUAGGGAAUCUUCCACAAUGGACGAAAGUCUGAUGGAGCAACGCCGCGUGAGUGAAGAAGGUUUUAGGAUCGUAAAACUCUGUUGUUGGAGAAGAACAGGGACUAGAGUAACUGUUAGUCCUUUGACGGUAUCCAACCAGAAAGCCACGGCUAACUACGUGCCAGCAGCCGCGGUAAUACGUAGGUGGCAAGCGUUGUCCGGAUUUAUUGGGCGUAAAGCGAGCGCAGGCGGUUUUUUAAGUCUGAUGUGAAAGCCUUCGGCUUAACCGAAGAAGUGCAUUAGAAACUGGGAAACUUGAGUGCAGAAGAGGACAGUGGAACUCCAUGUGUAGCGGUGAAAUGCGUAGAUAUAUGGAAGAACACCAGUGGCGAAGGCGGCUGUCUGGUCUGUAACUGACGCUGAGGCUCGAAAGUAUGGGGAGCGAACAGGAUUAGAUAC